UACGUAGGUGGCAAGCGUUGUCCGGAAUUAUUGGGCGUAAAGCGCGCGCAGGCGGUCUUUUAAGUCUGAUGUGAAAGCCCACGGCUCAACCGUGGAGGGUCAUUGGAAACUGGGAGACUUGAGUACAGAAGAGGAGAGUGGAAUUCCACGUGUAGCGGUGAAAUGCGUAGAUAUGUGGAGGAACACCAGUGGCGAAGGCGACUCUCUGGUCUGUAACUGACGCUGAGGCGAGAAAGCGUGGGGAGCAAACAGG
rnacentral:rRNA from 1 species